UACAGAGGUCUCGAGCGUUAGGCGGAAUCACUGGGCUUAAAGCGUGUGUAGGCGGAGUGCUAAGUACCUUGUGAAAUCCCACGGCUCAACCGUGGAACUGCUUGGUAUACUGGUUCUCUUGAGCCACCUAGGGGCAACCGGAACAAACGGUGGAGCGGUGAAAUGCGUAGAUAUCGUUUGGAACGCCAAUGGUGAAAACAGGUUGCUGGGGGUGUGCUGACGCUGAGACACGAAAGCCAGGGGAGCAAACGGG
rnacentral:rRNA from 1 species